AGAGUUUGAUCCUGGCUCAGGAUGAACGCUGGCGGCGUGCUUAACACAUGCAAGUCGAACGAGGAAUAAUUGAUGAGAUCUUCGGAUGGAUUUAGUUAUUCCGAGUGGCGGACGGGUGAGUAACGCAUGGGUAACCUGCCCCAUACAGGGGGACAACAGAGGGAAACUUCUGCUAAUACCGCAUAAGCGGAUCGGAUGGCAUCGUCCGGUCCGGAAAGCUCCGGCGGUAUGGGAUGGGCCCGCGUUGGAUUAGGCAGUUGGCGGGGUAACGGCCCACCAAACCGACGAUCCAUAGCCGACCUGAGAGGGUGACCGGCCACAUUGGGACUCAGACACGGCCCAGACUCCUACGGGAGGCAGCAGUGGGGAAUAUUGCACAAUGGGCGAAAGCCUGAUGCAGCGACGCCGCGUGAGUGAAGAAGUAUUUCGGUAUGUAAAGCUCUAUCAGCAGGGAAGAAGAUGACGGUACCUGCACAAGAAGCUCCGGCUAAAUACGUGCCAGCAGCCGCGGUAAUACGUAUGGAGCAAGCGUUAUCCGGAUUUACUGGGUGUAAAGGGAGCGUAGACGGAAUCGCAAGUCUGAUGUGAAAGGCCAUGGCUUAACUGUGGGACUGCAUUGGAAACUGUGAUUCUUGAGUACCGGAGGGGUAAGCGGAAUUCCUAGUGUAGCGGUGAAAUGCGUAGAUAUUAGGAGGAACACCAGUGGCGAAGGCGGCUUACUGGACGGUAACUGACGUUGAGGCUCGAAAGCGUGGGGAGCAAACAGGAUUAGAUACCCUGGUAGUCCACGCGGUAAACGAUGAAUACUAGGUGUCGGGUUCCACAGGGAUUCGGUGCCGGCGCAAACGCAAUAAGUAUUCCACCUGGGGAGUACGUUCGCAAGAAUGAAACUCAAAGGAAUUGACGGGGACCCGCACAAGCGGUGGAGCAUGUGGUUUAAUUCGAAGCAACGCGAAGAACCUUACCAGGCCUUGACAUCUCCCUGACCGGACAGCAACGUGUCCUUCCCUUCGGGGCAGGGAUGACAGGUGGUGCAUGGUUGUCGUCAGCUCGUGUCGUGAGAUGUUGGGUUAAGUCCCGCAACGAGCGCAACCCUUAUUGUCAGUAGCCAGCACUUCGGGUGGGCACUCUGAUGAGACUGCCAGGGACAACCUGGAGGAAGGUGGGGAUGACGUCAAAUCAUCAUGCCCCUUAUGGUCUGGGCUACACACGUGCUACAAUGGCGUAAACAAAGGGAAGCGAGCCCGCGAGGGGGAGCGAACCCCAAAAAUAACGUCCCAGUUCGGAUUGUAGUCUGCAACCCGGCUACAUGAAGCUGGAAUCGCUAGUAAUCGCGAAUCAGCAUGUCGCGGUGAAUACGUUCCCGGGUCUUGUACACACCGCCCGUCACACCAUGGGAGUCGAUAACGCCCGAAGCCAGUGACCCAACCUACGGAGGGAGCUGUCGAAGGCGGGAUUGGUAACUGGGGUGAAGUCGUAACAAGGUAACC
rnacentral:rRNA from 1 species